rnacentral:lncRNA from 11 species
AUGUCUUGCUCCUGGGCUGCAAGGAUCAGGCCUUCUGUCUCCUUCUUCAGGGUCCCAUUCGUGAGCCAGAGCCAGGUCUUCUCCUUCUCAGCUUUUCCUUCAGUUUUGUCAAGGAACUUUCCAUGCAGUGUUUUGUUGUGCCAGCUGUCAGCUCUAGUUUGUAGUGCGGUUUUCUUGUACUCAGUCUUUGUCUGCUGUGUUUUGAGGAGUUUCUGAUUUUUGACUUCAGUAAUAAUAAUUAUAAUACUUAUUAUUAUUAUUAUUAUUAUUAUUAUUAUUAUUAUUAUUAUUAUUGAUACCUUCUCCCCAAUCAAUGUGGGUCCCAAAAACAUAAUGUUGACACACAGGUGUUGCAAAUUGCAACAAAUCCUUGAUCUUUAUGGGACCGCCGCCCGGCCUGGUUUCGUGCUCAGUUUUUACGGGUGAACGAUCCCUUUCGGCAUCCUACCGGCGGAGUCAUUAAAAAGGUUACUCAUUAACGUGCCCAAGCGCCGGCCCAGAAAUAGCUGGGUUCUCCUGGAAGCAGGUGCCGCUCCGUGUUUUGCACUUUGCGAAGGAGGCUUUGUGGAAAGCAGAAAGAGGUCCCAGGGUGGCCUGGCCCGGUGCAUUCCUCUGUCCUGCCUUAGACAAGAAGAUCUCUGGGCUGCAGGGAGGAGGAAGGCAGAAGCCUCUUUUGCAGGUGUGUCCCUGCGUGUAUGUUUUGGAAAAACUUCAUGUGCAUGCAGGCAGGCACCCUGUGCGCCUCCGGAGAUUGAAAAACGAGGAGUAACAGGCGGUGGAAACCUCAGAAGGGCAAGAGCAGAUGCAGUUGAGAUCCGUACCGUAACAGAACGCUUUCUUGCAAUUGGGAAGCAAGUCGCUUCAAGAGGUGAAGGAGAGCAAGUCUGGACUGAGUCCCAAGCGGAAGGAAAGAAAGAAGGAAGGAAGGAAGCUCCGCUCUCUCCUUGGUGGCCUAGAAGACGUUGCCUUCCCACCACUUGCACCAUGUUGACGUUGAAGCUGCCCCGGCUGCUCAGCAUCCAUCAAGUUCCCAAAGUAAGUACUAACUUGCCAGAGUAAGUGACUUGCCAUGGAAAGGCCAGCUUGUGUGUUGGGAAUCCUUUAUUUCUCACUUGCAUCUACGAGGGUUGAUGAAAAAUGAUGCCUACACCUUGUCCUGAUCUGCAGCAGGUCCUGGCUUGUUCAGUAGACUCUCCUCUACAGUUACUUCCAUUUGGUGGGAAGCCUUAGCAUUGAACGGUUGUGUUGUUAAAGUGAGAAGUAUGGAACCCUGUGCAAAUGGAGAAGCCUUAGCAUUAAACGGUUGUGUUGUUAAAGGGCGAAGUGUGGAACCCUGCGCAGACGGAGAAGCCUUAGCAUUGAACAGUUGUGUUGUUAGUGGGAAGUAUGGAACCCUGCGCAGAUGGAGAAGCCUUAGCAUUGAACGGUUGUGUUGUUAAAGCGCGAAGUAUGGAACCCUGCACAGACAGAGAAGCCUUAGCAUUGAACGGUUGUGUUGUUAAAGUGCGAAGUAUGGAA